GCAUAAAUUAAUUGUCACCGAACCAAUUCACCGGAGAAAGAGAGAGAGAGAGAUGAAUACGCCGGCGCGUGGGCGCGUGCUACCGUUUUCGGAGAAGGAGAAAACGGAAGAAGAGUCCGGAACACUGGAAUCGAGUCUCCUACAGCUAAUCGAUGACAAUCGUAGAUCGUCGUUACAUCUCCGGGAAAAAACCGAGAGAUCGAGGAAGGAAGCGAUCAGACACGCGGCGAGAACGGCGGAUCUAUUAGUGAAGGCGGUGAACGGAGGAGUUGAGGAGUGUUUCGUGAACGAGAAACGGAUUGAGUCUGAGAUUAGGAAUCUGGCGGUUACGGUGGCGCGAUUCGGGAAACAGACGGAUCAGUGGCUUGCUGCGACUCACGCCGUUAAUAGCGCCGUCAAGGAGAUUGGAGAUGUUGAGAAUUGGAUGAAGACUAUGGAGUUUGAUUGUAAGAAGAUCACUGCUGCAAUUCGCAAUAUUCAUGAUGAUCAAUAGGAGCAACUUGUUUGUGAUACACUCAUUCACUUUGUUGUGCAACAGAUUGGAUCAAAGAGUUUGGGACUUAAUCGAAUUCACUGGUUCCUUAUUUCUACCGAGGCAACCUAACUUGUUUCUACAACUCGUUUAACUGCUCUGCUCUAUAGCUUUUGUCAGUUGCACAUCAGCUAAAAUCACUUCAUCUUGAGGUCUCGGCUAAACCACCGUAAAAUGUUGGCUGUUAUGUUUUGUAUUGAUCGAUCAUGAACUUGUGUUGGGAAGAUCAUCUCUGAGAGUUAUAUAUCUGUCUGGCCACAGGUAUAUAUCUCCGCGAGUUCCUUGUCUGCUUUUGUCAUUUUGAGUGAUUCAUGAGAUUCCCAUUCCUUUUCUUCCUA